UACGUAGGGUGCGAGCAUUGUCCGGAAUUAUUGGGCGUAAAGAGCUUGUAGGCGGUUUGUCGCGUCUGCUGUGAAAAUCCGGGGCUCAACCCCGGACUUGCAGUGGGUACGGGCAGACUAGAGUGUGGUAGGGGAGACUGGAAUUCCUGGUGUAGCGGUGAAAUGCGCAGAUAUCAGGAGGAACACCGAUGGCGAAGGCAGGUCUCUGGGCCGAUACUGACGCUGAGGAGCGAAAGCGUGGGGAGCGAACAGG
rnacentral:rRNA from 1 species